CCGAGGCCGUGAAGCCGGGCAGCCAGCCUUGCACCAUUGACAGCCGGGGCACGUCUGCGGAGCCCGGGGGAACAAUCAACGGACUCUAUGUCCCGGGAGCUGGGGACACGCCUGUAAGGCCUUUCUGCCUGCUCAUAGCCACUGGGAGAAAAAUCAAGCGUCUUCCUCUUUGAUAAAUAGAGGAAAGCCGGUGGGAUCAGUGUGCAAUGUUCCAGCCGACUAAAUGGGCUUGCCUUCUGCCGAGAGGCAGUCCUGGAGGACACAACUAAUGUGCAAUCUCCCAGGCAGCUCUUCAUCAGAACAUCCCUUGUCCUUUUGUUUUUGUUUUCGUAUUAAAAGAUGUUUUUGCUUUCCUCUCA